GAACUGAUGAGAAAAAUGGCAUAGAAUGGCAAGGAUGGACUCUGAAGCUAGAUUUGAAGACCACGCCAAAUGGCUUUGGCUUUCUCCAGCCACAGCACUGUAGGAGCAAGGUGUUUCCCAAGACCACUCGGGUCCUGACACCUGCUGAGGCCAAAGCAGCCACGCCUGCCUGAGACCCUGUGGAGGGCACCAAACACCUAUACCCUUCCCAGCACAUGUGGAGAAAAGGAGGACCCGGUACAGGACAUAGCCAGAUGGCCUGUGCGAGCAGUG
rnacentral:lncRNA from 1 species